CCUACGGGAGGCAGCAGUGGGGAAUAUUGGACAAUGGGGGCAACCCUGAUCCAGCAAUGCCGCGUGUGUGAUGAAGGCCUUAGGGUUGUAAAGCACUUUCACUGGUGAAGAUGACGACGGUAACCAGAGAAGAAGCCCCGGCUAACUUCGUGCCAGCAGCCGCGGUAAUACGGAGGGUCCAAGCGUUAUCCGGAUUUAUUAGGUUUAAAGGGUCCGCAGGCGGGAUUUUAAGUCAGUGGUGAAAGCCUACAGCUCAACUGUAGAACUGCCAUUGAUACUGAUAUCCUUGAGUGUGGUUGAAGUGGGCGGAACAUGUCAUGUAGCGGUGAAAUGCAUAGAUAUGACAUAGAACACCAAUUGCGAAGGCAGCUCACUAAGCCAUUACUGACGCUGAGGGACGAAAGCGUGGGGAGCGAACAGGAUUAGAUACCCUGGUAGUCCACGCCGUAAACGAUGAUCACUCGUUGCUAGCGAUACACUGUUAGUGACCAAGCGAAAGUGUUAAGUGAUCCACCUGGGAAGUACGUUCGCAAGAAUGAAACUCAAAGGAAUUGACGG
rnacentral:rRNA from 1 species